rnacentral:rRNA from 1 species
UACGUAGGGGGCGAGCGUUAUCCGGAUUUACUGGGCGUAAAGCGAGUUAAGGCGGUUGGCAAAGUUGGUUGUGAAAUCUCAGGGCUCAACCCUGAAUUGCGACCAAUACUGGUCGACUAGAGUGCAGGAGAGGAAGGGUGGAAUUCCCGGUGUAGUAGUGAAAUGCGUAGAUAUCGGAGGAACACCAGUGGCGAAGGCGGAGCCUUCGUCGGUCCUGGCCAACUGACGCUGUAGCUCGAAAGCGUGGGGAGCGAACCGG